AUUGAACGCUGGCGGCAGGCCUAACACAUGCAAGUCGAACGAGUGGCGGACGGGUGAGGAAUGUCUGGGAAACUGCCUGAUGGAGGGGGAUCACUACUGGAAACGGUAGCUAAUACCGCAUACCAUCGGAUGUGCCCAGAUGGGAUUAGCUAGUAGGUGGGGUAAAGGCUCACCUAGGCGAAGAUCCCUAGCUGGUCUGAGAGGAUGACCAGCCAAACUGGAACUGAGAAACGGUCCAGACUCCUACGGGAGGCAGCAGUGGGGAAUAGUGCACAAUGGGCGCAAGCCUGAUGCAGCCAUGCCGCGUGUAUGAAGAAGUCCUUCGGGUUGUAAAGUACUUUCAGCGGGGAGGCGUUACCCGCCGAAGAAGCACCGGCUAACUCCGUGCCAGCAGCCGCGGUAAUUC
rnacentral:rRNA from 1 species